UCUUGUGGCCUAGUGGUUAGAGUGUCUGCCUUGGAUGCGGGAGGCUGUGGGUUCGAUCCCUGGUUGAGUCAU